AUUGAACGCUGGCGGCAGGCCUAACACAUGCAAGUCGAACGGUAACAGGAAGACUCUUGCUUCUUUGCUGACGAGUGGCGGACGGGUGAGUAAUGGCUGGGAAACUGCCUGAUGGAGGGGGAUAACUACUGGAAACGGUAGCUAAUACCGCAUAACGUCGCAAGACCAAAGAGGGGGACCUUCGGACCUCUUGCCAUCGGAUGUGCCCAGAUGGGAUUAGCUAGUAGGUGGGGUAACGGCUCACCCAGGCGACGAUACCUAGCUGGUCUGGGAGGAUGACCAGCCACACUGGAACUGAGACACGGUACAGACUCCUACGGGAGGCAGCAGUGGGGAAUAUUGCACGAUGGGCGCAAGCCUGAUGCAGCCAUGCCGCGUGUAUGCAGAAGGCCUUCGGGUUGUAAAGUACUUUCAGCGGGGAGGAAGGGAGUAACGUUAAUACCUUCGCUCAUUGACGGUACCCGCAGAAGAAGCACCGGCUAACUCCGUG
rnacentral:rRNA from 1 species